rnacentral:rRNA from 1 species
GUGGAGCAUGUGGUUUAAUUCGAAGCAACGCGAAGAACCUUACCAGGUCUUGACAUCCUCUGACAAUCCUAGAGAUAGGACGUCCCCUUCGGGGGCAGAGUGACAGGUGGUGCAUGGUUGUCGUCAGCUCGUGUCGUGAGAUGUUGGGUUAAGUCCCGCAACGAGCGCAACCCUUGAUCUUAGUUGCCAGCAUUCAGUUGGGCACUCUAAGGUGACUGCCGGUGACAAACCGGAGGAAGGUGGGGAUGACGUCAAAUCAUCAUGCCCCUUAUGACCUGGGCUACACACGUGCUACAAUGGACAGAACAAAGGGCAGCGAAACCGCGAGGUUAAGCCAAUCCCACAAAUCUGUUCUCAGUUCGGAUCGCAGUCUGCAACUCGACUGCGUGAAGCUGGAAUCGCUAGUAAUCGCGGAUCAGCAUGCCGCGGUGAAUACGUUCCCGGGCCUUGUACACACCGCCCGUCACACCACGAGAGUUUGUAACACCCGAAGUCGGUGAGGUAACCUUUUAGAGC